UACAGAGGGUGCAAGCGUUAAUCGGAAUUACUGGGCGUAAAGGGCGCGUAGGCGGUUAUGUAAGUGAGAUGUGAAAGCCCUGGGCUUAACCUAGGAACUGCAUCUUAUACUGCAUGACUAGAGUAUUGUAGAGGGUAGUGGAAUUUCCGGUGUAGCGGUGAAAUGCGUAGAGAUCGGAAGGAACACCAGUGGCGAAGGCGGCUACCUGGACAAAUACUGACGCUGAGGCGCGAGAGCGUGGGGAGCAAACAGG
rnacentral:rRNA from 1 species